GAUGAACGCUGGCGGCGUGCCUAACACAUGCAAGUCGAGCGAUUCUCUUCGGAGAAGAGCGGCGGACGGGUGAGUAACGCGUGGGUAACUGCCCUGUACACACGGAUAACAUACCGAAAGGUAUGCUAAUACGAGAUAAUAUGCUUUUAUCGCAUGGUAGAAGUAUCAAAGCUUUUGCGGUACAGUAUGGACCCGCGUCUGAUUAGCUAGUUGGUAAGGUAACGGCUUACCAAGGCGACGAUCAGUAGCCGACCUGAGAGGGUGAUCGGCCACAUUGGAACUGAGACACGGUCCAAACUCCUACGGGGGGCAGCAGUGGGGAAUAUUGCACAAUGGGCGAAAGCCUGAUGCAGCAACGCCGCGUGAGCGAUGAAGGCCUUCGGGUCGUAAAGCUCUGUCCUCAAGGAAGAUAAUGACGGUACUUGAGGAGGAAGCCCCGGCUAACUACGUGCCAGCCGCCGCCGUAACAC
rnacentral:rRNA from 1 species